AGAGUUUGAUCCUGGCUCAGGAUGAACGCUAGCGGCAGGCUUAAUACAUGCAAGUCGAACGGUAACAGGUCCAGCAAUGGAUGCUGACGAGUGGCGCACGGGUGCGUAACACGUAUGCAACCUACCUUUAACUAAGGAAUAGCCCCGAGAAAUCGGGAUUAAUACUUUAUAAAAUUAUAGAAAAGCAUUUUUUUAUAAUUAAAGCUCCGGCGGUUAAAGAUGGGCAUGCGCGACAUUAGCUAGUUGGUAAGGUAACGGCUUACCAAGGCUGCGAUGUCUAGGGGUUCUGAGAGGAUUAACCCCCACACUGGUACUGAGACACGGACCAGACUCCUACGGGAGGCAGCAGUAAGGAAUAUUGGGCAAUGGACGCAAGUCUGACCCAGCCAUGCCGCGUGCAGGAUGAAAGCCCUAUGGGUUGUAAACUGCUUUUAUACGGGAAAAAACCCUCGCUCGUGAGCGAGGCUGAUGGUACUGUAAGAAUAAGGAUCGGCUAACUCCGUGCCAGCAGCCGCGGUAAUACGGAGGAUCCAAGCGUUAUCCGGAUUUAUUGGGUUUAAAGGGUGCGUAGGCGGAAUUGUAAGUCAGUGGUGAAAUCCUACAGCUUAACUGUAGAACGGCCAUUGAUACUGCAGAUCUUGAGUAUAUUUGAAGUGGGCGGAAUGUGUCAUGUAGCGGUGAAAUGCUUAGAUAUGACACAGAACACCGAUUGCGAAGGCAGCUCACUAAACUAUAACUGACGCUGAGGCACGAAAGCGUGGGGGGCAAACAGGAUUAGAUACCCUGGUAGUC
rnacentral:rRNA from 1 species